AUACGUAGGGGGCGAGCGUUGUCCGGAAUGAUUGGGCGUAAAGGGCGCGUAGGCGGCCCGGUAAGUCUGGAGUGAAAGUCCUGUUUUUAAGAUGGGAAUUGCUUUGGAUACUGUCGGGCUUGAGUGCAGGAGAGGUAAGUGGAAUUCCCAGUGCAGCGGUGAAAUGCGUAGAGAUCGGGAGGAACACCAGUGGCGAAGGCGGGUAACUGGACUGCAACUGACGCUGAGGCGCGAAAGUGUGGGGAGCAAACAGGAUUAGAUACCCUGGUAGUCCACACUGUAAACGAUGAAUGCUAGGUGUAAGAGGUAUCGACCCCUUUUGUGCCGGAGUUAACACAAUAAGCAUUCCGCCUGGGGAGUACGGCCGCAAGGUUGAAACUCAAAGGAAUUGACGGGG
rnacentral:rRNA from 1 species